rnacentral:lncRNA from 1 species
UUCGUUUAACAUCCCACGUCGUCGUCUUUCAUUCUCUCUCUCUCUCUCUCUCUUUCUCUCUUUUUAUUCGCACUUUACUCGCCUCGUUCGUUAUCUCUAUGCCACACGACUGUGAAUCACCAGACGAUACGCGGAUAUCAGAUACUUGGUACCGAAAGGCGCAACUAAUUAAAUACCAACGUUUGUCGUCCGAUCUAUCCGGUGAUUAACGUCACUCUAAUCUUCCCGUCCAGAAACAAGCACUCGCGACCGACUUCGAAAUAUUUGCCUUCCGACCUAAUUAGCCUUACGACAUCCAAGAAAUUACUGUAAAAACCAUGGAAACUGACGUUAUAGCGCCGAUUUACAAACUUUCAUCGUUUCAUAUUUUUCAACUAAACGUUUAAAAUGUAAACAACCGCUCAAAGCUAUGUUAUAGAGUAUGCGCGUUUUAAUAAACUGUCGUUCUGUGGAAUGAAACAUCUGAAGAUCAUACGCUCAUAAGAAUCUAUUAUAUAUACGUUCGAUUGCACCAGCGUAUUUAUCGAUAUGACAUCUCAUCAGAACAACAACAGAACAGGCAUUCGUUAUAAUCAUGGCUAAUUCGUAUUUAUCAUGCAUCAUAUUUAUUUACGUAUCACCCGGUCGGUAAUUAGUAAUCACAUUGCGUAUCAGACUCGGGCACAUACAUAUAUCUCUGGCAGGCAGGAUUAUUUUUGCUUUCAUUCAACCUCGUUCCUUUCUCGUCGGCGUGCGUACACAGUCAAGUUCUCGCAGCCUGAUUCUCUUGUUUACGGUCGCCAAGAAACGUGCCGUAGCACGACAUGACGCAGUCCCAGCCCGUGGACACCCGAUUCGAAAGCCGGCCAUUCUGAAUGAGUCUAAGUUUAGUAAACCGACCAACGAGGCCAACGUGGCAGCCGAUGUACUCAAAGAACGUGUAUCACAGGCCAACUGUGAGCGCGCGAUAUAGAGUAGCCAGAAGCGUGAAUCGUCCGACUGACAUCACACGAGCCACGCACGCUCUCGCACCGCAGGAGAAACCACGGAAAUUUAUGUUGAGCUAACAGCGCAGAUUUAACAGUAAUUACCGACCAUCUUUCUCUCCUGGCAACAGACCUUACUUACAUCGUCCCGGAACGGAUACGCGAUUAACCUCGAUGCCAUCAUCUCCGAUAAUUGCCAGUUCUAUCCGAACAACUUAUCUCUAUCUGAUUGAUAUGAUCGAUUACCCAGAACAAAAAACUGAUUAACUACGUCGGUCGAAGCUGCACAAGCUUCAUUAACUCUAUAAAACAAGCGCGUCCUUUCGAAACAUCAUUGCAAAGUUAUUUCCCCUUUUCCAGCGUUUCUGUCUUCGUCUAGGCUUUGUGAUUUUCUUUGAUAAAUGAGAAAACGGUAUUUGGUAAAAAGUAUAAGCAGAUUGUAAUGAGAUGUCUGUAUGAUGAUGUCUAUAUAGCAGCGCAUGAAAGGAUUCGAAUACCUGUAGAAAUCUGGCUGCUCACGUGCUAUUAUGGGUUUCCGUGGAAGGCAGACAAAAGAAAGACGAGGAGAGGUGGAAAAGA